CUUCUCUAUGUCUCAGCGUCCACCAAGAAAAGUCUGAAGGUUUUGUUUAUCGUCGGGACACGUGUUUGGAGCAACUGACCAGAAGCUACAUCCGGUAUUACAGGAGUUGGGGGCAUUCUCCCCCCACUUUUAAAAGCUUUUCACAUCUGUCGUGCUGUUUGUUGUAAAUCAGUAUUUAAUUUGAAUGAAUCUACUUGCUAUUGUUUUAGCUUAAUAGUUUGUGUUGGCAGUUUACAGUAUUAGAGUUUUUGAAUGUCAUUUUUAAUCUUGUGUUCCUCAAAUGUGGUUUUGAUGUAGCAUUUACUAUUAGACAUUUAGGUGAAGUUGGUUUUAUAUUCACAUUUUCACUGAGCACUUGGUAAUGGUAACAAUUGUUAAUCAUGCUACUUUGAAUAUCCGUGUGUGUGUGUCACAUCAGCACAAUUGAAUUAACCAAACAAUUCUGUACUAUUAAUCAUUGGCUGCUAAUAGGACUUCCCCAUUUAAAAUUAGCAAAGAAUACUUAAGGAGUUAUAUAUAUAUAUAUAUAUAUAUAUAUAUAUAUAUAUAUAUAUAUAUAAUAUUAAAACGACUUCAUCCUUGUCUUUUAGAAAUGUAGCUUUAUUAUUAAUACACUUGGAGAAAUUUAACAUUGGUAGACUGCCACAAGAGGGUAUCCUUUGUAAAUGUAUAGUUCUUUACAUGGUUGACUUGAAAUAAAGAAAAUUGUCAG
rnacentral:lncRNA from 1 species